CUUUCACAAAGUGGGAUCCCGGCCUUGUUGUAGUACUGUUUCCCAGCCAGGGGGAUGUGACAAGAUCUGCACUGGAAGCAGCCUUCGUGCUCCGUGGAAAGGAAUGCUGCGGUGAUGUCACGGCUGCAGGAAGGAGCAUGCCCACGAAUGAUACAAUCCCAGGACCACCACACUUCGCCCCUCCACCCCCCUCAAAGCCAAAAUCCUCAUUAAACCCUAUGAACCUCUUCAGUUCCACARGACUUUUCACUUUGAAGAAUGAGAAAGAAAAAAUGAAGAAAAAAAAAACACAACAGAUGGGAAAUAAAGCUAAAUGAGAAGGAUGGAAAAUGAGUUUUUUAACACUUUUUUCAACACCACUUCAAACCUGGAAAACAGAUCCUAGAUUAGUUGUUGUUUUGCUUCUGUAAUAAAAAUGUUGAUAGAU